rnacentral:rRNA from 1 species
UACGUAGGGUGCAAGCGUUGUCCGGAAUUAUUGGGCGUAAAGAGCUCGUAGGCGGCCUGUUGCGUCUGCUGUGAAAUCCCGGGGCUUAACCCCGGGCGUGCAGUGGAUACGGGCAGGCUGGAGGCAGGCAGGGGAGAAUGGAAUUCCCGGUGUAGCGGUGAAAUGCGCAGAUAUCGGGAGGAACACCGGUGGCGAAGGCGGUUCUCUGGGCCUGUUCUGACGCUGAGGAGCGAAAGCGUGGGGAGCGAACAGG